GAUGAACGCUGGCGGCGUGCCUAAUACAUGCAAGUCGAGAGAACGGACGAGAAGCUUGCUUCUCUGAUGUUAGCGGCGGACGGGUGAGUAACACGUGGAUAACCUACCUAUAAGACUGGGAUAACUUCGGGAAACCGUAGCUGAUACCGGAUAAUAUUUUGAACCGCAUGGUUCAAAAGUGAAAGACGGUCUUGCUGUCACUUAUAGAUGGAUCCGCGCUGCAUUAGCUAGUUGGUAAGGUAACGGCUUACCAAGGCAACGAUGCAUAGCCGACCUGAGAGGGUGAUCGGCCACACUGGAACUGAGACACGGUCCAGACUCCUACGGGAGGCAGCAGUAGGGAAUCUUCCGCAAUGGGCGAAAGCCUGACGGAGCAACGCCGCGUGAGUGAUGAAGGUCUUCGGAUCGUAAAACUCUGUUAUUAGGGAAGAACAUAUGUGUAAGUAACUGUGCACAUCUUGACGGUACCUAAUCAGAAAGCCACGGCUAACUACGUG
rnacentral:rRNA from 1 species